GUUUAAUUUCAUAACUCAGAUGGUAAUUUGAAAUUAUUAAAUAAAUAUAUUCCUAAUAAUUCAACCUACUCAACCCUGACUUUCACACACCACAUCCAAUCUCUCUCUCCCUCUCUCUCAUUCCCCUCAUGCCAGUCUUCACCACCACCACUAUUGGCGGCAGUCUCUUAGCUGAAAAACGAGUAUUUUCGGUGAGAUUGAGAUCCGGCUACGAAGCCGAAUUGAUCUCUCAACAACUCAAACUACCAAAAAAUGAGUAUUUUCCAAUGAGAUUGAGAUCUGGCCAUAAGCGAAAUUGAUCUUUCAGCAACUUGUGUAUGCGAUUCAUGAUGAUGAUCUUGAGUUAGCUUUGAACCUCAUUUCACAAACAAAUUUCUCCUUUCCCGGAAGACCCUCCAAGAAAAGAUAGGCCAAAUGACCUAGAUCGAAUAGAGCGUUGCCAUGCCUUCCACCAUCAAAGAUCAUUGUAUAGGUCAAUUAAUAUCAUGUGAUUAUAGGAAUAUGUAGUAGUUAGUGUGUACCAUGUGUGUAAAUUUGUGGGUUUGUGCUAAUUUACAGGAAGUUUGCUGAGUGGGGGUGGGAGCAAGCCAUUUGACAUGGCGAAUUCGGCCAACUGGGCUAAUAUGAUUGAUGGGUUCCAGAAUGUGGAGCUGGAGUCACGACUUGGCAUUCCAAUUAUCAAUUCUGAUAUUUAUAAUAAAAACAUAAUUGUUCAUUGUUAUUGUAAUACUGUUCAAUAUUUUGAUUAAAAUAUAAGACACAAUGCAUUAGAAUUUUGAUAUUUUAGAUUUUAGUUUUAGUUUUGG
rnacentral:lncRNA from 1 species